AUUGAACGCUGGCGGCAUGCCUUACACAUGCAAGUCGAACGGUAACAGGUCUUCGGAUGCUGACGAGUGGCGAACGGGUGAGUAAUACAUCGGAACGUGCCUAGUAGUGGGGGAUAACUACUCGAAAGAGUGGCUAAUACCGCAUGAGAUCUACGGAUGAAAGCAGGGGAUCGCAAGACCUUGUGCUACUAGAGCGGCCGAUGGCAGAUUAGGUAGUUGGUGGGAUAAAAGCGUACUAAGCCGACGAUCUGUAGCUGGUCUGAGGGGACGAUCAGCCACACUGGGCGUGAGACACGUGCCAGACUGCUACGGGAGGCAGCAGUGGGGAAGUUUGGACAAUGGGCGAAAGCCUGAUCCAGCAAUGCCGCGUGCAAGAUGAAGGCCUUCGGGUUGUAAACUGCUUUUGUACGGAACGAAAAGCCCCGGGUUAAUACCCUGGGGUCAUGACGGUACCGUAAGAAUAAGCACCGGCUAACUACGUGCCAGCCGCCGCGGUAA
rnacentral:rRNA from 1 species